rnacentral:sRNA from 1 species
CCCCACCAAAGACCAAACGCUCCGUUUGGUCUUUUUUU